rnacentral:rRNA from 1 species
UACGAAGGGGGCUAGCGUUGCUCGGAAUUACUGGGCGUAAAGGGCGCGUAGGCGGAUAGUUCAGUCGGGGGUGAAAGCCCGGGGCUCAACUCCGGUUCUGCAUUCGAUACGGGCUAGCUAGAGUGUGGUAGGGGAGAUCGGAAUUCCUGGUGUAGCGGUGAAAUGCGCAGAUAUCAGGAGGAACACCGGUGGCGAAGGCGGAUCUCUGGGCCAUUACUGACGCUGAGGAGCGAAAGCGUGGGGAGCGAACAGG